UACGGAGGGUGCAAGCGUUAUCCGGAUUCACUGGGUUUAAAGGGUGCGUAGGUGGGCAGGUAAGUCAGUGGUGAAAUCUCCGGGCUUAACCCGGAAACUGCCGUUGAUACUAUCUGUCUUGAAUGUAGUGGAGGUGAGCGGAAUAUGUCAUGUAGCGGUGAAAUGCUUAGAUAUGACAUAGAACAUCGAUUGCGAAGGCAGCUCGCUACACUAUGAUUGACACUGAGGAACGAAAGCGUGGGGAUCAAACAGG
rnacentral:rRNA from 1 species